CUCACCCUUUCUCCCCAUUUCCAACCAAACCCUUCACCUUUCUCACGGAUUCUCCCCCAAAUCGGUUCAUUCUCAUCAGUUUCACCAAAUUCUCCUCUAAAUGGAUAAAUCCGCCCACCCACCACGUCUUCGAUCAAGACGAAGUCACUUCGAGUUGAAAUGAAGUCACGGAUCAAGGCGAGGGACACGAAGACAAUGGCGGUGAUGAUAACAUGAUGUAGUUUUACACGUUUUAUGCAAUGUUAUGAUGUUAAUAUGUGAAUUAAAUGAAUAACUUUUAAGU